AUUGAACGCUGGCGGCAGGCCUAACACAUGCAAGUCGAGCGGAUGAAGGGAGCUUGCUCCUGGAUUCAGCGGCGGACGGGUGAGUAAUGCCUAGGAAUCUGCCUGUCAGUGGGGUAUAACGUCCGGAAACGGGCGCUAAUACCGCAUACGUCCUGAGGGAGAAAGUGGGGGAUCUUCGGACCUCACGCUAUCAGGUGAGCCUAGGUCGGAUUAGCUAGUUGGUGGGGUAAAGGCCUACCAAGGCGACGAUCCGUAACUGGUCUGAGAGGAUGAUCAGUCACACUGGAACUGAGACACGGUCCAGACUCCUACGGGAGGCAGCAGUGGGGAAUAUUGGACAAUGGGCGAAAGCCUGAUCCAGCCAUGCCGCGUGUGUGAAGAAGGUCUUCGGAUUGUAAAGCACUUUAAGUUGGGAGGAAGGGCAGUAAGUUAAUACCUUGCUGUUUUGACGUUACCAACAGAAUAAGCACCGGCUAACUUCGUG
rnacentral:rRNA from 1 species